GGAGAGAUGGCCGAGUGGUUAUGGCGCUACGUUCAGGUUUCUGAGCAAAGAAAAAAUCGUAGUGGAGCAAUCCGCGUGGGUUCGAGUCCCACUCUCUUCA
rnacentral:tRNA from 1 species